GAGCUGGACUCAAUGGGAGAGCCCCUGCUUGGCAGGCAGAAUGUCCCCGGUUCAAACCCCGGCAGCAUCU
rnacentral:tRNA from 1 species